rnacentral:lncRNA from 1 species
CCUGCAUGGUAAUUUUCUCCACAACACACAUAUUACAGUGACGACGAGUUGAUUAAGCUUCUUAAACGGACAUUGCUUGAAGGGAAGAAUGUUGCGUGAGUAAUGAAACUCAUUAUCAUUAUGUAAAUCGUCAGUUAUUUGUUUCCCCCUAGUAGAAGACUGCUUAUUCUAAGCGCUGCUAGCGGGCACAGUGUUCCAGGAGCUGCCAAGUAGCAAGCCUACUGGAGUCCAGAAUAGCGACACUGCCCGCAGGUAGAUAAAGUAAGAACUUUCAUUGAACCUAUUGAAAAUAGGCGAUCUCAGCGGAGAAAUAUUGUAAAAAUAAAAAAGACGAAAAAGAGGAAACGUAACAAUGUGUGUAUAUUAUUACAAAUGUGCAAAGAAUGAUAAAUUGCAGAAACUUCUGAAAUGGAUAAAGUGAAGAAUUAGAUGAACAUUCUGAAAAUGAAGGAAUACAAAUCAAAUCAAGUCAUACUUUAUUUGUCACAUGCGCCGAAUAUAACAUGUGUAGACCUUACCGUGAAAUGCUAACUUACAAGCGCUUAACCAACACGACCUACAUGGAAUGAGGAAACAGAAAAAUUAACUGUGACGAUGGCAACCAUUGGUCGAGUACCAGAGUUGUAUAUUUUUGCUGUUAAUUUGUCUUGAACGCAAGGAAGAUGGAGAUUUCCGAGGUGUUUUGAACGUGAUAUGAAUGGACAACGAGCAAUGACAACAUGCUUAUGGAAUUCUGCCAACAACACCAGCGACAAACACUUUACCAGCGGUCUGAAAAGAGGUAGCUGGGUCAGAAGUUCAUUGACUCUUUCCCACGCUAAAUACAAAAUGUGUAGAUAACAUUAGCUAGCUCUGAAACGAGUAAUUUGGAGACCUUAUAUUUUCUUUUGAGAACUUAUCAUUCAGUGAGUGUAAACUAGCUGCAUACAUUAGCUAGCUAGGAGCUAUCUAGUAGCUAACUAGUUGAGCUAACGUUUGAGUGUUUCUACUGCAUGCGCACAAUACUAUUCAGACAGAGAAGAAGCACUUAAGAAAAUAAGCACUUUUUUUCUCAAUGUGCCAUCUCAGGUCUGUACUAUGUAUAAGCAUAUGUAUAUCUUUGUAAUCUGAAGAUGACAUGUUCAUCAUACCCUCCCUUUGCAACUCUAAUUAUGACUUGGUGAAAACUUAGAUGUUUUUCCUAUUAAAAAUGAAUGGACAGUGAAAUAGUAUGUGAUCUGUCAUUUCUAUUGCUUUUUCUGAGAGGUAUUUAAAAUACUUUCAAAUAUUAUAUUUUUUUCCCUGAGACCUGUAUGCUAUUAGCGGAUCAACUAAUCGAAAUCAAGUAAUCGACUAACUAUAGAUAGAUAGAUAGAUAGAUAGAUAGAUA